GACGAACGCUGGCGGCGUGCCUAAUACAUGCAAGUAGAACGCUGAAGGAGGAGCUUGCUCUUCUGGAUGAGUUGCGAACGGGUGAGUAACGCGUAGGUAACCUGCCUGGUAGCGGGGGAUAACUAUUGGAAACGAUAGCUAAUACCGCAUAAGAGUAGAUGUCGCAUGACAUUUGCUUAAAAGGUGCAAUUGCAUCACUACCAGAUGGACCUGCGUUGUAUUAGCUAGUUGGUGAGGUAACGGCUCACCAAGGCAACGAUACAUAGCCGACCUGAGAGGGUGAUCGGCCACACUGGGACUGAGACACGGCCCAGACUCCUACGGGAGGCAGCAGUAGGGAAUCUUCGGCAAUGGACGGAAGUCUGACCGAGCAACGCCGCGUGAGUGAAGAAGGGUUUUCGGAUCGUAAAAGCUCUGUUGUAAAGAGAAAG
rnacentral:rRNA from 1 species